CCGAGGAAAGGUCGAUUUUUGGGGGGUUUUGGGGGGGCGGGGGGUCGAGCGUACAGGGGAUUCUUGGGGACUUUUUGCUGGGAGUUCCUGACACCCCAAUGAACAACUUGGGCACAUAAAACCUUAGAUAUAAAUUUUUUUUUCUAUUUUUCCUAUAAUGCCUGGACUAAUUCUUUUCUUGCAUUGCCAGUUUUUGCUGCGGUAAAAAUUCCUCUAAAAAGGCAAAAAUGUCCUACUUUUUCUUUGCAUUUAUAAAAAUGAUGUAUUAAACUGAACUUUCAAGACGGACAGUCCAACAAGCCUUUAAGAAUAAUGAACAAACAUUGAGAAAAUUUUAGAGCAAACCGAUGAGAAAAACGUGGACAGCCCUAACAGAUAGGCGCAUGAAAAUGUAAAAUCUUGGAAAAUACCACACCCCUGGAUCUUUUGUUAUCGAGGUGCCUUUACAAUGCUUGAAGUGUAAUUUUUUAUUGAUAGAAUAAUUUUUCAUGGAUAGAAUAAUUUAAUCAAUAAUAAAGUUUGUAUGAAAUUAUGUCCUAUGUCUCUUGUCAAUAAUGUUUUUACUUUAUUUUUAGUUUCAAUGAUUGAAAGCGGCGGUGGUCUUAGCAACACAAGUGCCAUGAUUAGUAGUAUAACUCCAGAUCCCAGCUCUGCAGAAGCAGUUUCUGAUAAGUUUCCAGAUGAAGUCAUGAAAAUUGAAAUUUUGGAAUUUAACUCGAACAACUACAACAAAUCCCUUAUGCAGACUGGCACGCAAACUUCACCAGACAAGAACUUCCAAAAUUGCUUCAAUUUUGGAACGGUUCCAGAGAAAGAGGAGCCACCAAGAAGAACACGCAAAGAACGGACACAUUCUCACAAGCGCUCGGCCUCACCACCACAGCGACAAGCCGUUCCUCCAACCCCUGUGAAUGCACCUGCCCACAGUUGUAAAACAAAAGAGUCCAGGUAAAGUUGGAUUUUUUGUGUUGAAUACUGACGUGUCUACACUACUUACAAAAACAUCAAACAUCAACAAAAUGGUUUAUAAUUUUGAUGAAAACAAGCAUGCCAUUUUUUAAGUAAUAACAUGUCAUGGUGUAAUAUUUCCAAAUUAUGGUGCAGCAGAAUCAAAAGGAAUUCUACACUUGCUUUAACUUGUUUUAUGCAAUGAUUAUGAUUUCUUGUUUCUUCUUUCAGUGCAUCAGUGAAAGAGGCGUUGAGUCCGUCUGUUGCUGAGAGUAUUCGUGCUGUGUUUGCUGCGUUGUUGUGGCAUGAAGGCAUUGUUCAUGAUGCUAUGGCAUGUGCAUCUUUCUUGAAGUUUUAUCCAACACUUUCAAAACAGGGUGUAACUGUCACUCCAAGACAUAUUAAGAGGUAUGUUUGCUCUUAAAAAUUAAUAUAUCAUAGCUGUAAUUGAUACUGUAUCAUAUCAACCCAUUUUAGCAGUACCUAUUUAAUACUUC
rnacentral:lncRNA from 1 species